ACACGCAUGACACACUGCAUAUCAAUAAGCGGAGGAAAAGAAACUAACAAGGAUUCCCUUAGUAACGGCGAGUGAAGCGGGAAGAGCUCAAAUUUGAAAUCUUCAAGGUUCUACCUUGACGAAUUGUAGUUUAUAGAAGUGUUUUCUGUUAGUGGAGUGGCAAAAGUUCUUUGGAAUAGGACAUCAUAGAGGGUGAGAAUCCCGUAUUUGGUCAUUCCUCCUAGCGUUGUGAUACACUUUCAACGAGUCGGAUUGUUUGGGAAUGCAGUCCAAAAUGGGUGGUAAAUUUCAUCUAAAGCUAAAUAUUGGCGAGAGACCGAUAGCGAACGAGUACCGUGAGGGAAAGAUGAAAAGAACUUUGAAAAGAGAGUUAAACAGUACGUGAAAUUGUCAAAAGGGAAGCGUUUGACACCAGUGUUGUUUUUCCGAAAAUCAAUUACGAAUGUUUUGUUUUUGAAGAGUUAUGACUUCAUCGGCUUGCUUCUUUCUUUACGAAACUUUCUUAAUGCACCUUUCGGUUAACAAGUCGACAUCAAUUUCUUUUGUUGUAAAAGGGUAUGAGGAAGGUGGCUUUCUUUUCGGAGAAAGUGUUUAUAGCCUUGUGCCUCUGCAAUCGGAGAGAUUGAGGUCUGCAGCGUAGAUCCUUCGGGGUUAGAUACAGUUUGUGCUAAGUUAUAGCUUUUCAUAGACAACUUGUUGACUAUGUUUAGUCUUGUAGCUUACUCGCUUAUGCUAUUUUACCUACGCUUAGGAUGUUGAAUCUGUGCGAGACUAC
rnacentral:rRNA from 1 species